GACAACAGAAGCCACAGAAAUCCUCCUCAUCAAAAACAUGACUUUGAUCUCCGUCCUCAUCUGGACUCUCCUCUGCUGCUGCUUCACAGAGUCCAGAGGCCAGAUCACAGUGACUCAGUCUGCAGCAGUGAGAUCUGAACUGGGAGGAUCUGCAACCAUCAACUGUAAGACCAGUCAGAGAAUUGAAACUAGGUACCGUUUAGCCUGGUACCAACAGAGAGUUGGAGAUGCUCCUAAACCCCUCAUUCGCUACACUAAUGAGAGAAUCUCAGGGAUUCCAGAUCGUUUUUCAGGCAGUGGAUCAAACUCUGAUUUCACUCUGACCAUCAGUGGAGUUCAGGCUGAAGAUGCAGCAGUUUAUUACUGUCAGAGUUAUCAUGAAAUCAACAGUCAGCGUGUGUUCACACAGUGA